rnacentral:lncRNA from 1 species
AUGAAAAGAAUAAUCCACUGCCCUAUGGUUCAAUGGCUACAAGAAUUGAAAGAAAGAAACAGUUAAGUGCAAAUCUGACAAACCCCGAAACCACCCAUGUAAUCACUAAAUAUGCUAUAGACAAGACUAAAAACCCCCUUAUGUCAAAGCCCGGAAAUCCAAAUUGCAGUGCAAGCACCAAAGACCAAAAGGUGACAGAGGAUCACAUGUUGAUUAUAACCAAGCUUUGAAAUUUCCAAAUCUGAAUGUCCAUAACAGUACCACCACCAUAUGGCUACACAUCUAUCCAACCAAAACAAACUAUCAUGAUAAUAUAAAAAAAAUGGAAGACAAAAGAUAAUAAGUAGCUAGAAGAACAAAAGUAAAGAAGUAUUUUACAUCACUAUAAAAAGAUCUAGGAUUGGCCGAGUACUUCUUUAGGUGCCCACACAAAAGACCUCAUCACCAUAGGACACCUCACAACUUGGAUCAUCCAAGAGCAUAUGCUUCUGGACAAAGAACUCAUGGCAGCAGAAAAAUACAACACACUGGUCAAAAAUAAUAUCCUAAUUGAGAAACUUCCAUACAAAAGUAGUUUUGACAAAGAUAAGAGGAGCCAUGAGAGAAGAAAACUGAAUUGAAAAUUAUCGAUACUCAUAAAAGACUGAACUUAAAAGGCCUCAACUCAUAUGGACAAACAAGAUCACUCCAUGAAAAGAAGAAUCCACUGCUCUGUAAGACCCAAUGGCUGCAAGCAAAGGAAUAAAGGAAAGAAUACUUGCAAAGCUGACGAAACCCACUAGAAAAUGCAAGAUAAGAUUGAAAAACCCCUCUCAUAUCCUGAUAAUAUCCAUAUUGCGGUGCAUCCACAAAACUGGCAAAGAAUCAAGAUUGAGAAACCCCUCUAUCUCGCCUAAUAAUAUUCAGAUUGUAGUGCCAGCACAAAAAUGGCAUAGAAACAGGUUGCACAAGAAUGGACACUGGGCAUUAACCUUCAAAAUUUUCCAAAUCUAAUCCUCUACUGUCAUCCAUCCAACAAAUAAAAUCAAUCUGGGGUGAAACAAACAGGAAGCAGAGAACGGACCCACUUGAUGGGGCUGUCAAGAGAUCUAGGAUUGAGUUUUGAUUUCUUAUCAGGUGUCAAUAAGACCAUAUACCCAUCAACCAACCAGGAAUCUCGUAAUCUCAUCAAUUGGAUCAUCGAAGAACACAAGCAUCCGAUCUACAAACUAAAAAUGGCAGAGCAGAAUACAACACACACUAGUGCAAGAAAAACUAAUUUAGCUGGGAACUACCAUAUAACGGCAAUUUUUGACAAAGAGAGGAGGGACCACUCUGAUUGAGGAAGAAAACUGAAAUGAGAAUCUCAGUACUCAUAAAACCUGAAGUAGAAGAACAUCAACACAAAUGUCCAAACAAAGCCCCUCCAUGAAAAGGAUAGUUCACUGCUCGGUUAGACCCAACUGCAAGCACAGAAAGGAGGCUGCAAGCACAGAAAGAAGGGAACAGUUAAGUGCAAAGCUGACAAAACCCUUAUCACCUAAGAAAUCACUAGAGACGCAAGAGAUAUUGAAAAACCCCAUUAGUCGAAGCCUGACAAUAUCUAUCUUGGAGUGCAAGCACAAAAAAGACAGAAAAAGGUGCAAAGGAACGCCUACCGGAUACAAGCAUUCGAAGUUCCCAAAACUAAUCCUCUAUUAAUAUCACCAUGUGGUCUACACAUACAUUCACCAAUAAACAAGAUCAAGCAGGUGUGAUAACCAAGGGAAAACGAAAGCAGAGAGAAAAUAAGUAGCUAGGACACAAAAGCCAGAGGAGCACUUUACGGCACUAUCAGAGAUCCAGAAUUGACUUUUGACUACUUAUACAGUGCCCAUAACACCACAAGAGAUAGCAGGAUUAUCAAAGAACAUGAGCAUCUGAACCAUGAACUAAAACUGGCAGCGUUACACACACAAGUGAAGAGAAAUAUCAUAAUUGAGAACUUCCAUAAGCAGUAAUGACAAAACUUCGAGAGACUGAAAAAUCCAAUACCUAUAGUCAAAAACCUGGGAACUGUUGCAUCCUUCCCGAGACGAACACCAAAGCAAGACACUUACUCCU